rnacentral:rRNA from 1 species
GAUGAACGCUGGCGGCGUGCCUAAUACAUGCAAGUCGAGCGAACGGACGAGAAGCUUGCUUCUCUGAUGUUAGCGGCGGACGGGUGAGUAACACGUGGAUAACCUACCUAUAAGACUGUCAUAACUUCGGGAAACCGGAGCUAAUACCGGAUGAUAUUUUGAACCGCAUGGUUCAAAAGUGAAAGACGGUCUUGCUGUCACUUAUAGAUGGAUCCGCGCUGCAUUAGCUAGUUGGUAAGGUAACGGCUUACCAAGGCAACGAUGCAUAGCCGACCUGAGAGGGUGAUCGGCCACACUGGAACUGAGACACGGUCCAGACUCCUACGGGAGGCAGCAGUAGGGAAUCUUCCGCAAUGGGCGAAAGCCUGACGGAGCAACGCCGCGUGAGUGAUGAAGGUCUUCGGAUCGUAAAACUCUGUUAUUAGGGAAGAACAUAUGUGUAAGUAACUGUGCACAUCUUGACGGUACCUAAUCAGAAAGCCACGGCUAACUACGUG